CAGCUCAAAUUUGAAAUCUGGGUCUUUCAGGCUCCGAGUUGUAAUUUGUAGAAGAUGCUUUGGGUGCGGUCCCGGUCUAAGUUCCUUGGAACAGGACGUCAUAGAGGGUGAGAAUCCCGUAUGUGAUCGGUGGCUUGCGCCCGUGUAAAGCUCUUUCGACGAGUCGGGUUGUUUGGGAAUGCAGCUCUAAAUGGGUGGUAAAUUUCAUCUAAAGCUAAAUAUUGGCCAGAGACCGAUAGCGCACAAGUAGAGUGAUCGAAAGAUGAAAAGCACUUUGGAAAGAGAGUUAAACAGUACGUGAAAUUGUUGAAAGGGAAGCGCUUGCAACCAGACUUGCGCGGGGUUGAUCAUCCGGGGUUCUCCCCGGUGCACUCGGCCUCGCUCAGGCCAGCAUCGGUUUCGGUGGUUGGAUAAAGGCCUUGGGAAUGUGACUUCUUUCGGGGAGUGUUAUAGCCCUCGGUGCAAUGCAGCCUACCGGGACCGAGGACCGCGCUUCGGCUAGGAUGCUGGCGUAAUGGUUGUAAGCGACCCGUCUUGAAACACGGACCAAGGAGUCUAACAUCUAUGCGAGUGUUUGGGCGUCAAACCCAUACGCGUAAUGAAAGUGAACGGAGGUGAGAACCCUUAAGGGUGCAUCAUCGACCGAUCCUGAUGUCUUCGGAUGGAUUUGAGUAAGAGCAUAGCUGUUGGGACCCGAAAGAUGGUGAACUAUGCCUGAAUAGGGUGAAGCCAGAGGAAACUCUGGUGGAGGCUCGCAGCGGUUCUGACGUGCAAAUCGAUCGUCAA
rnacentral:rRNA from 1 species